UUCCGGUUGAUCCUGCCAGAGGUUACUGCUAUCGAGGUUCGACUAAGCCAUGCGAGUCGAAUGUAGCAAUACAUGGCGUACUGCUCAGUAACACGUGGACAACCUGCCCUUAGGUUGGGUAUAAACCCGGGAAACUGGGUAUAAUCCCCUAUAAGUCUCGGCUGCUGGAAUGCACCGAGAUUAAAAGCUCCGGCGCCUAAGGAUGGGUCUGCGGCCUAUCAGGUAGUAGUGGGUGUAGCGUACCUACUAGCCUACGACGGGUACGGGUUGUGAGAGCAAGAGCCCGGAGAUGGAUUCUGAGACACGAAUCCAGGCCCUACGGGGUGCAGCAGGCGCGAAAACUUUACAAUGCUGGCAACAGCGAUAAGGGAACCUCGAGUGCCAGGUUACAAAUCUGGCUGUCGAGAUGCCUAAAAAGCAUUUCAUAGCAAGGGCCGGGCAAGACCGGUGCCAGCCGCCGCGGUAACACCGGCGGCUCGAGUGGUAGCCGUUAUUAUUGGGUCUAAAGGGUCUGUAGCCGGCCGGAUAAGUCUCUUGAGAAAUCUGGCAGCUCAACUGUCAGGCUUUCAGGAGAUACUGUCUGGCUCGAGGCCGGGAGAGGUGAGAGGUACUUCAGGGGUAGGGGUGAAAUCUUGUAAUCCUUGAAGGACCACCAGUGGCGAAGGCGUCUCACCAGAACGGACCUGACGGCAAGGGACGAAAGCUAGGGGCACGAACCGGAUUAGAUACCCGGGUAGUCCUAGCCGUAAACGAUACUCGCUAGGUGUCGGCCACGGUGCGACCGUUGUCGGUGCCGUAGGGAAGCCGUGAAGCGAGCCACCUGGGAAGUACGGCCGCAAGGCUGAAACUUAAAGGAAUUGGCGGGA
rnacentral:rRNA from 1 species